rnacentral:rRNA from 1 species
GACGAACGCUGGCGGCGUGCUUAACACAUGCAAGUCGAACGGUAAGGCCCUUCGGGGUACACGAGUGGCGAACGGGGGAGUAACACGUGGGUGAUCUGCCCUGCACUUCGGGAUAAGCCUGGGAAACUGGGUCUAAUACCGGAUAUGACCAGUGCCUGCAUGGGUGGUGGUGGAAAGCUUUUGCGGUGUGGGAUGGGCCCGCGGCCUAUCAGCUUGUUGGUGGGGUGAUGGCCUACCAAGGCGACGACGGGUAGCCGGCCUGAGAGGGUGACCGGCCACACUGGGACUGAGAUACGGCCCAGACUCCUACGGGAGGCAGCAGUGGGGAAUAUUGCACAAUGGGCGCAAGCCUGAUGCAGCGACGCCGCGUGAGGGAUGACGGCCUUCGGGUUGUAAACCUCUUUCAGCACCGACGAAGCGCAAGUGACGGUAGGUGCAGAAGAAGGACCGGCCAACUACGUGCCAGCCGCCGCGGUAA